rnacentral:sRNA from 1 species
UUGCAGCACCGCGGUUCGGUCCCUGCGA